rnacentral:misc_RNA from 1 species
GAUGAAGAACGUAGUGAAAUGCGAUAAGUAAUGUGAAUUGCAGAAUUCAGUGAACCAUCGAAUCUUUGAACGCACAUUGCGCCCGGCAGUAAUCUGCCGGGCAUGCCUGUCCGUGCGUCAUUUCUGCCCUCGAGCGAGUCCAGCAUCUAGGUGCUGGGCCCGCCCGGCGUUGGGGCACUACGGGAAGCCCUGUGCUGUCCCCCGUAGGCCCCGAAAUGAAGUGGCGGUCCUGCCGCGGCGCCCCCUGCGUAGUAUAACAGCUCGCUUCGGGACCCGGUGGAGGCCUGCCGUCAAACCUUACUCUCUAAGUUUGACCUCGGAUCAGGUAGGGUUACCCGCUGAACUUAAGCAUAUCAAUAAGCGGAGGA